AGCAACCGGAGAGAAUCUCCUGAUGUCCGGAUGAUCUCCCUGCCACUAGGACAGAAAAAAAGAGAUGCAGAGGAUGAGAGUGUUAUUUCACAGCAUGGCUUCUGAAUAGGUCAUGAGCAAGCAUCGUCCUGACUGAACAUGCCAGUGCAACAAUGAUGUUUGGUGAAGAGGCUUCCAAUAACCAGUGUUGGCUGAAAUAUUGUGCAUUGGACAGCACUCACCCCUCUCCAUAAGGAUGUUGAAGAGUGAGGCAUUGGUGAAGAAGAAGAGAUAGGCCAGGAGCUGUGAGGAUAUCUCUGAGUGCACCUCAAAAGUGUUGAGCAGC